UAACUCUACCUGGAGUAUCACAGGUAACAGAGGUGACAAUUAGAGGGACUUAAUCGUCUUGAUGAUAACUCUACCUGGAGUAUCACAGGUAACAGAGGUGACAAUUAGAGAGACUUAAUCGUCUUGAUGAUAACUCUACCUGGAGUAUCACAGGUAACAGAGGUGACAAUUAGAGGGACUUAAUCGUCUUGAUGAUAACUCUACCUGGAGUAUCACAGGUAACAGAGGUGACAAUUAGAGGGACUUAAUCGUCUUGAUGAUAACUCUACCUGGAGUAUCACAGGUAACAGAGGUGACAAUUAGAGGGACUUAAUCGUCUUGAUGAUAACUCUACCUGGAGUAUCACAGGUAACAGAGGUGACAAUUAGAGGGACUUAAUCGUCUUGAUGAUAACUCUACCUGGAGUAUCACAGGUAACAGAGGUGACAAUUAGAGGGACUUAAUCGUCUUGAUGAUAACUCUACCUGGAGUAUCACAGGUAACAGAGGUGACAAUUAGAGGGACUUAAUCGUCUUGAUGAUAACUCUACCUGGAGUAUCACAGGUAACAGAGGUG